UAACUAUGUAACAGAUGUACCAAUAUAACAGUACACACACUAAUCUAGGUUUAAUAUGAAUCAUUAUAUAUUGAAUAAACAAAAUUAUAAAUGUUUACCAACAGUAAGAAUACGCCGUCUAAAUCUCCUCUGCUGAUUAAGGACAACAGGGAAGAACAAUGUACAACUCAUUUCUACGAAAAUAACUAUUUAUAAAAUGGUCUCUUUUCCAAGUCUAGGAUCAAGAUUUUCAUUAGGCGUCGUCUUCGAAAAAUGUUGGGAUAAUAUUGUGUCUGUGAGUAGAAAGGAUUUAAAAUACCCCCCCCCCCCCCCCCCCCCCCCGAAAAAAAAAAAAAAAAAUAAAAUAAAUAAAAUAAAAUAUAUAAAAACAAAAAAAAGUUCUCCAAAACAUGUUAGCGACAACCAAAACAACAACAUUACAACAUUGCAUAUACACAAUCGUAAGAUAAGAUACUUAAAGUAACAACUAUAAAGGCUCAAGACAACAACUUCUCUAGAUGUUCACACUUCAUUGGUUAAUUGGUGUUUAAAGUCACUAUUGGCUGGGAAAUCCAUUCAAAUCGAUAAUGAGAUAUAAUAAGAUGUGCUAUCAGUGCCAAUGAGACAACUCUCCAUCCAAGUCACAAUUUCUAAAAGUAAACCAUUAUAGGUCAAUGUACGGUCUUGGUUCAAUCCGAACAGCAUGCCGAAAAGGACUCCAAACAUGACUAGGGUAAAACCAUUUAAAAGGGAAAAUCUUAUUCUAAUCUUGAUUAAAAAAAAAACGAGAAACGAGAACCAUUUAUGAACCACAUCAUCAAACGACAACCACUGAACAUCAGGUUCCUGACUUAGGACAGGUGCAAACAUAUGCAGCGGGUUUAAACGUUUUGAUAGGUACCAACUUUCACCCUUACCUGAAAAAAGUGUAACAUCCCAACAUAGAAAGGCACACUGUAAAAUAUCAAUCGAAAUGGCUUAACUUAAUUAAAAGACACAUUAAUACAAGUGAACACACAGUAAACGAAUGAAUUUGAUCAAUGGCACAUGUACAAUGUACAUACAAAAUCAAUAAAAUAAGGGGUUAGAUAGAUGUUAAAUAAUUUCAGAGAGACAACCAUAAUCUUGAACAAAAUGCCACCAAGUAGAAUAGUGUAAACAGGUAAAUGAAAACAAUUUUGUUGUAAGGUAUACAGUAAUAGUUUAAACAUUUUUAUUUAUAGUGGAUUGGGAAACAAGUUUUGCAACUUAUACAGUAAUAGAGAUACAAACAUACAUUUGGCAGAUGUUAUAAAAAAAAUGCCCUAUAAAAACGUUUUAUUUGUCUUCACAAUGAUUGUUUCAAUGUGAGUUUGCUGUCUUACUGACGUGUACACCAC
rnacentral:lncRNA from 1 species